rnacentral:rRNA from 1 species
GAUGAACGCUGGCGGCGUGCCUAAUACAUGCCAGUCGAGCGAACAGACGAGGAGCUUGCUCCUCUGACGUUAGCGGCGGACGGGUGAGUAACACGUGGAUAACCUACCUAUAAGACUGGGAUAACUUCGGGAAACCGGAGCUAAUACCGGAUAAUAUAUUGAACCGCAUGGUUCAAUAGUGAAAGACGGUUUUGCUGUCACUUAUAGAUGGAUCCGCGCCGCAUUAGCUAGUUGGUAAGGUAACGGCUUACCAAGGCAACGAUGCGUAGCCGACCUGAGAGGGGGACGGGCCACACGGGAAGUGCGACAGGCCCAACCCCCCGACGGGGGGAAGAAGGGGGGACUUUUCCACAAGGGCGAAAGCCCUGCCGGCCCAACCCGGGGGGAGUAAUAAAGGUUUUCGUAUCGAAAAACUUUUUGAUGGGGGAAAAAAAAAUGUUAAAGUAAUUAGCCACGCCUGGAGGUUCCCUAACAAGAAGCCCACGGCUACCUCCGCC